AUUGAACGCUGGCGGCAGGCUUAACACAUGCAAGUCGAACGAUGACUCUCUAGCUUGCUAGAGAUGAUUAGUGGCGGACGGGUGAGUAACAUUUAGGAAUCUACCUAGUAGUGGGGGAUAGCUCGGGGAAACUCGAAUUAAUACCGCAUACGACCUACGGGUGAAAGGGGGCGCAAGCUCUUGCUAUUAGAUGAGCCUAAAUCAGAUUAGCUAGUUGGUGGGGUAAAGGCCCACCAAGGCGACGAUCUGUAACUGGUCUGAGAGGAUGAUCAGUCACACCGGAACUGAGACACGGUCCGGACUCCUACGGGAGGCAGCAGUGGGGAAUAUUGGACAAUGGGGGCAACCCUGAUCCAGCCAUGCCGCGUGUGUGAAGAAGGCCUUUUGGUUGUAAAGCACUUUAAGCAGGGAGGAGAGGCUAAUGGUUAAUACCCAUUAGAUUAGACGUUACCUGCAGAAUAAGCACCGGCUAACUCGGUG
rnacentral:rRNA from 1 species